rnacentral:rRNA from 1 species
UACGUAGGGGGCGAGCGUUGUCCGGAUUCAUUGGGCGUAAAGGGUGCGUAGGCGGCGCGGUAAGUCGGGUGUGAAAUCUCGGGGCUUAACUCCGAAACUGCAUUCGAUACUGCCGUGCUUGAGGACUGGAGAGGAGACUGGAAUUUACGGUGUAGCGGUGAAAUGCGUAGAUAUCGUAAGGAAGACCAGUGGCGAAGGCGGGUCUCUGGACAGUUCCUGACGCUGAGGCACGAAGGCCAGGGGAGCAAACGGG